rnacentral:rRNA from 1 species
AAUAGCCUAAAGGCUGAACCAGCAAUUUGGAAGAAUGUUAGCAAUAGCUAAUUACAUAUUAUUAUGUAACAUCAAUUAAUUGAAUAAAAUUCUGAGUAAAUCUAGAUAAUGACUUAAUUUACUCACGUGUCUUGACUAAAGUACGUGCCAGCAGUCGCGGUAAGACGUUAAAGACUAGUGUUAUUCAUCUUUAGCAGGUUUAAAGGGUACUUAGACGGCAAAUUAAGCCACACAGGGACUAAUUAGCUAGAGUUACUUUUAAAGGGGCUAAAAAGUACUAAUGGAGUAGAGAUAAAAUGCUAGUAUACCUUUUUUUUAUAAAUUAUAAUGGCACUGAUAAAGGCGAAAGCAUCCCCUUAUGUGAUAACUGACGUUAAAGGACGAAGGCUUUGAGUUGCGAAUAGGAUUAGAUACCCUAGUAGUCGAAGCAGAGAAUGAUGAGUGUCAUAAAUUAGGAUAACCUUAAUCUAUAAAUGAAAGUGCAAGCACUCCACCUUAAGAGUAAUGUGGCAACACCGAAAUUGAAAUCAUUAGACCGUUUCUGAGNNNNNNNNNNNNNNNNNNNNNNUAAUUUGAUGAUCCGCAAAAAACCUUACCACAACUUGAAUAUAUAUGUAUAUAUAUAUUUACAAGCGUUGCACGGCUGUCUUAAGUUAAUGUCGUGAGAAUUUGGUUAGCUCCAUUAAAUUGACGUAAACCCUCAUUUUACUUUUAUGUAAAAUGGUUCGCCGUUAUAUAGGUAUCACAGUAUUAAAGUAUAAUAGGGAAUAAGACAAGUCAUCAUGGCCUGAAUGUUGU